CCCUUAGAUGUUCUGGGCCGCACGCGUGCUACACUGAGUGGAUCAGCGGGUCAGGUUGCGCGAAAGCGUUUCCUAAUCUUGAAAUCCGCUCGUGAUGGGGAUUGACGGUUGCAAUUUUCUGUCAUGAACGAGGAAUACCUUGUAAGCGCGGGUCAUCAUCCCGCGCUGAAUACGUCCCUGCCCUUUGUACACACCGCCCGUCGCUCCUACCGAUUGAGUGGUCCGGUGAGGCUUUGGGAUCUGAGCGGAAAGAGCGUUUCGCUCGUUCUGCUCGGAAAACUCAGUCGAACCUUAUCAUUUAGAGGAAGGAGAAGUCGUAACA
rnacentral:rRNA from 1 species